rnacentral:lncRNA from 10 species
GCCAUCACGCCCGGCUAAUUUUUUGUAUUUUUAGUAGAGACGGGGUUUCACCGUGUUAGCCAGGAUGGUCUCGAGCUCCUGACCUCAUGAUCCGCCCGCCUCGGCCUCCCAAAGUGCUGGGAUUACAGGCGUGAGUCACAGCGCCCGGCGAGUUCAUACUGCUAUUUUUAAUUCAAAUUCGGACAACAGGGCUAAGGUGGACACUUAGGUGGCCAAUGAAUCUCUUCCUAUAUUGGACUUGAAACUUAGAAAAUUACACAGUAAAGCAACAAAGCUCAAGAAAUGUACAAAACCAUGUUUGAUGCCACAAGGAACAGGAAAAGUGAAGCAUCAUAUGAAGAAGUAAUACAUUAAUCAAGCCAACAUGGGAAGGAGAAAACAGAUGAAAUAUAGUCAAGCCAUGGGCUUCGACAAAGUUCUCAGAGAAACAGACUCCCAGACGACGCUGGCCAUUCCCUGGCAACGGCCAGGUUUGCCAUUAUCCAGCCACUCUGAGACCUGUUAUCAGGCCUGAGGCAGGAUCUUGCUAUGUUGCCCAGGCUGGUUUUGAACUUCUGGCCUAAAGUGAUCCUCCUGCCUUGGCCUCCCAAAGUGCUGGGAUUACAGACGUGACUCAUCGUGCCCAUCCUCCUAUUAUCUUUUUAACAUUUUUGCUUUCUUUGAGAUUUUAUAUACUACAAAGAAUGUCAAGUUGGGUAGAUUUAUUGUAAAUAGAAUAAGGUAUCUCUGGAUUUGUGUUUAUAGCAUUAAAGACUUCAAUAAAGAUUUAUACAUUAUAUCUG